rnacentral:lncRNA from 1 species
GGAGGCUCCAGAAGAGGGAGAGAGGGUCUCUUGAAUGACUUGGGAGUUUGCUUUGGGCUUAUGGUUACGAUAAGAAGAGGUAGCAGAUUGCGGAGCAAGUUCGAGAGAGAGGGAGAGAAAUAAUGGAGGGCCGCGUUAGGUGGUGGAUCAGUUAAUUCGGAGGAAUGCACAGUUGAGCAACGAAAGGGACUUCUUAGAGAGUUGGUUUGCUGAUGAGUCGCUCGUCUUAGAUGUACCGAGAGAUGCAUGUGGCAGGCUUAAAUGAGUUAGGACCCUUUCAAAG